ACUCUGCUGAAGAGUCCCAAAAUAAGACGAAACGGCCAUCCAGUGCUUCCAGGAU
rnacentral:hammerhead_ribozyme from 1 species